UACGUAGGCAGCAAGCGUUGUUCGGAAUUACUGGGCGUAAAGCGCGCGCAGGCGGUCUUCCAAGUCAGUGGUGAAAGCCCGGAGCUCAACUCCGGAACUGCCAUUGAAACUGUUAGACUUGAGGAUGAGAGAGGUGAGUGGAAUUCCCAGUGUAGAGGUGAAAUUCGUAGAUAUUGGGAAGAACACCGGUGGCGAAGGCGGCUCACUGGCUCAUUACUGACGCUCAGGCGCGAUAGCGUGGGGAUCAAACAGG
rnacentral:rRNA from 1 species